UCUAGGUGUAUGGUUUCCUCUUUGAAACUCAUUGUGAAUUCUAGGCCACUUAGCUAUUGAAAAUGGUCACCCCUCGCUUCCAUAUACAAAGUUGUUAGCUUGGUUUUAUUUUCACAUACAGUGGCCUUUUAAACGGUGCAAAGCGGACGACAUUGCAUUUCCUAGCCUGCUACGUACACUGGAACAUAAGAGAUAUACGGAUUGCUUGAAACACUGGUCAAAAACUGAUAGUGACAGAACAGACCCUUCUUCAAAAAGAUUGACUCUAAAUCAUGAAAAUGAAAACUGCUGUUGGUGCAUUCAUCUUAAUAGUCUUUGUCACCUAUCAAAGUGUUAACGCCGGUCGUUUUGAAAGUGUUGAAGUUUUUUCACAGCACUCUUGCCCUGAUUUGGUGGAAACUGGAAAGCUCUACAGGGCUCUACGCCCCGAUGAAAACUGUGAUAAGAAUAGCGGGUUGGUCCCUAAAGAUCCUUCUGCCAAACACAGUGUAGACUCUCAUGUUAGCGAAAGAGAAAAAGACACUCAGUAUAUCUCUUUGUCGACGUCUAAAGACGUUACCAAUAGAUAUAAGAAUAAGGAGAAACCUAGGAUAGUCGAAGUGCUAGUUAAAGAUCUUCCUGAAUCUUGUAAGAUUAUAAACCUAAAUGAUAAGAACGUUCGUCUGAAGGAAAAUCUUAGUAGUCUAUCUAUUAAGAACGCAUUGAGAGAUUGCGAAGUGCUGCUUGAUAGUAAGUUUCCCAUACCCUGUAAAGAAAUAGAUCCCGAUGAGGACGACAGUCAACGGCAGUUUAAUGAGGAGAUGAUACUUGCGAUUAACAAUCCAACAUGCUUCAAACUGCUCACUGAUUUAAAGGCCUCUAAACGCCUUGAAUGGUCUAAAAACGAGAUCACGAUCCCUAAACUGCCGAAUAUCAUGUUCCCGAGUGACAAAAGCCGCAAACUCAAAACCGUCUUCAAAAUCAGGAAAUUUUGUAAGCAGCUCAUGAAAAAAUUUCCAAAAUUUGGUUGACAGCAUGUAUUCUAAUCAACUUACUAACUGAUGGUAUAUAGCCUAGCUCUAAAUUGCACAUUAUUCAAUCUGUUGUGUACUGACUCUACUGAGAUUUGCCUAUCAAUGAUCAAUGAUAUCUUC